CCCAGAGUUCUCAGCAAGCUUAAGGUCCCCAGCUCAAAUGUCCAAAGAGGCCAAUUUCAAGGAAAAUGCAGAGUAAACGUCCUUGAGGACAAGGGCCUUUGUCUUCUACCAGCACUGCUGUUGUGGCUACUUUGGAUUCCUGCAGAACUGUGUGAAAAGAAGAAUUCUUCAGAGGCUGUGGAGAUGGCUCAGUGGUAAAGUGUUUGACACACAAGCACAAGAAAUGUGAGUUCUGAUUCUCAGAACCCAAUAAAGCUGAAUGCUGCAGAGCAGG
ensembl:lncRNA